rnacentral:RNase_P_RNA from 1 species
AGUCGGUUAGACGGUUGCGGAUAGCAAUAUCUGAGGAAAGUCCGAGCCCCACAGGGCAGAAUAGCGGCUAACGGCUGCCGAGGGUGACCUUAGGGAAAGUGCAACAGAGAUAUACCGCCUGCUUUGCAGGUAAGGGUGGAAAGGCGAGGUAAGAGCUCACCGGUUUCACGGGAACGUCGAAACCCUGUAAACCCUAUUCGGAGCAACGCUGAGUGUGGCUAUACAUUUGCCCGAUGUGCCACGAAAAGCGGCUUGAGCGGAGGGAGUAAUCCCCCGUCGAGAUAGAUGAUCGUCCAAGACAGAACUCGGCUUACAGACCGACUCAU